AUUGAACGCUGGCGGAAUGCUUUACACAUGCAAGUCGAACGAUGAACCUUAGCUUGCUAAGGGGAUUAGUGGCGAACGGGUGAGUAAUAUAUCGGAACGUACCUUGUAAUGGGGGAUAACUAGUCGAAAGAUUAGCUAAUACCGCAUACGCCCUGAGGGGGAAAGUAGGGGAUCUUCGGACCUUACGUUAUAAGAGCGGCCGAUAUCUGAUUAGCUAGUUGGUGGGGUAAUGGCCUACAAAGGCGACGAUCAGUAGCUGGUCUGAGAGGACGACCAGCCACACUGGAACUGAGACACGGUCAAGACUCCUACGGGAGGCAGCAGUGGGGAAUUUUGGACAAUGGGCGCAAGCCUGAUCCAGCCAUUCCGCGUGAGUGAAUAAGGCCUUCGGGUUGUAAAGCUCUUUCGCAAGGGAAGAAAACUUACAUUCUAAUAAAGUGUGAGGCUGACGUUACCUUGAUAAGAAGCACCGGCUAACUACGUGCCAGCCGCCGCCGUAA
rnacentral:rRNA from 1 species